rnacentral:lncRNA from 1 species
UCUUCAUUAUUAAUGAAUUUCACUAAUUGUUAUGGUAUUUACAGGAAAAAUAUCAGCAAAUAUUACAGCAACAAACACAAACUCAAUCUGAUAUUGAUCAAUCUUUAGCAUUUUAUCAAGCCGCGGGAGGGGAAAAGAAGAGAAGAAUAUAUGGUCUUGGAUCUCAAGAAAAAUAUUUCUAUGGGCUAAAUCUUCGUGCCUAUUCUGGAUCUGAUGCUUCUUCAUCAGCAGCGCCUGUACUGACUAAUCACAUGUUUCCUGUGUUGGCUGAGCGAGUAAGAGGAUUGAUAGAUUCACCAUCACAUGUGCAAGAUAAUCAUACCGAUCACCCAUCAGCUAUGGCACCUCCAGUUCCUCCUCCUAAUACUAAUAUUAACGAGGUUCAUGCAUCGCUUUCUGAUGAUGACCUUCACUCUCUAGUCUCUCAGUAGUUAACUAUUUUUAUUUGAACUUUAUUUUGGUAUUGUAGAUGUUUUGGUAUUAACGGGGUUCAUGCAUCGCUUUCUGAUGAUGACCUUCACUCUCUAGUCUCUCAGUAAUUAACUAUUUUUGUUUGAACUUUAUUUUAGUAUUGUAAAUGUUUUAAUCUUAAUUAUACAUUUGCAUUUUGGUAUCUAUUUUGGAUCUUGUAGAAUAUUAAUUUCUAUCAAUUUCAGUUAUUAUUUAGAGUAUCUUA